UGACUGGUGAGUAACACGUGGAUAACCUACCUAUAAGACUGGGAUAACUUCGGGAAACCGGAGCUAAUACCGGAUAAUAUAUUGAACCGCAUGGUUCAAUAGUGAAAGACGGUUUUGCUGUCACUUAUAGAUGGAUCCGCGCCGCAUUAGCUAGUUGGUAAGGUAACGGCUUACCAAGGCAACGAUGCGUAGCCGACCUGAGAGGGUGAUCGGCCACACUGGAACUGAGACACGGUCCAG
rnacentral:rRNA from 1 species